rnacentral:rRNA from 1 species
UGGGGAAUAUUGCACAAUGGGGGAAACCCUGAUGCAGCAACGCCGCGUGAGUGAAGAAGUAUUUCGGUAUGUAAAGCUCUAUCAGCAGGGAAGAAGAUGACGGUACCUGACCAAGAAGCCCCGGCUAACUACGUGCCAGCAGCCGCGGUAAUACGUAGGGGGCAAGCGUUAUCCGGAUUUACUGGGUGUAAAGGGAGCGCAGACGGCAGUGCAAGUCUGGAGUGAAAGCCCGGGGCCCAACCCCGGAACUGCUCUGGAAACUGUGCGGCUAGAGUACUGGAGGGGCAGGCGGAAUUCCUAGUGUAGCGGUGAAAUGCGUAGAUAUUAGGAGGAACACCAGUGGCGAAGGCGGCCUGCUGGACAGUAACUGACGUUGAGGCUCGAAAGCGUGGGGAGCAAA